UACGGGAGUGGCAAGCGUUAUCCGGAAUUAUUGGGCGUAAAGCGUCCGCAGGCGGUCUGUCAAGUCUGCUGUUAAAGCGUGGAGCUUAACUCCAUUUCGGCAGUGGAAACUGACAGACUAGAGUGUGGUAGGGGCAGAGGGAAUUCCCGGUGUAGCGGUGAAAUGCGUAGAUAUCGGGAAGAACACCAGUGGCGAAGGCGCUCUGCUGGGCCAUAACUGACGCUCAUGGACGAAAGCCAGGGGAGCGAAAGGGAUUAGAUACCCCUGUAGUCCUGGCCGUAAACGAUGAACACUAGGUGUCGGGGGAAUCGACCCCCUCGGUGUCGUAGCCAACGCGUUAAGUGUUCCGCCUGGGGAGUACGCACGCAAGUGUGAAACUCAAAGGAAUUGACGGGGGCCCGCACAAGCGGUGGAGUAUGUGGUUUAAUUCGAUGCAACGCGAAGAACCUUACCAGGGUUUGACAUCCUGCGAAUCUCUUGGAAACGAGAGAGUGCCUUCGGGAACGCAGUGACAGGUGGUGCAUGGCUGUCGUCAGCUCGUGUCGUGAGAUGUUGGGUUAAGUCCCGCAACGAGCGCAACCCACGUCGUUAGUUGCCAGCAUUUAGUUGGGCACUCUAGCGAGACCGCCGGUGAUAAACCGGAGGAAGGUGUGGAUGACGUCAAGUCAUCAUGCCCCUUACAUCCUGGGCUACACACGUACUACAAUGCUACGGACAAAGGGCAGCAAACUCGCGAGAGCUAGCAAAUCCCAUAAACCGUGGCUCAGUUCAGAUCGUAGGCUGCAACUCGCCUACGUGAAGGAGGAAUCGCUAGUAAUCGCAGGUCAGCAUACUGCGGUGAAUACGUUCCCGGGCAA
rnacentral:rRNA from 1 species